rnacentral:tRNA from 1 species
GGGGCUAUAAUUUAAGUUUAAAAUAUUGUAACCUUGCAUUUACAAAAUUUUGGCUCUA